UACGGGGGGGGGAAGCGUUGUUCGGAAUUACUGGGCGUAAAGGGCUCGUAGGCGGCCAACUAAGUCAUACGUGAAAUCCCUCAGCUUAACUGGGGAACUGCGUGUGAUACUGGAUGGCUUGGAUUUGGGAGAGGGAUGCGGAAUUCCAGGUGUAGCGGUGAAAUGCGUAGAUAUGCGGAGGAACACCGAUGGCGAAGGCAAUCCCCUGGACCUGUACUGACGCUCAUGCACGAAAGCGUGGGGAGCAAACAGG
rnacentral:rRNA from 1 species